rnacentral:rRNA from 1 species
UACGGAGGGGGCGAGCGUUAUUCGGAAUCAUUGGGCGUAAAGGGCGCGUAGGCGGCUUCGUAAGUCUUGGGUGAAAGCCCUCGGCUCAACCGAGGAAUUGCCUUGGAUACUGCGAAGCUCGAGGCUGGAAGAGGACAGUGGAAUUCCCGGUGUAGCGGUGAAAUGCGUAGAUAUCUGGAGGAAUACCGGUGGCGAAGGCGGCAUCCUGGACCAUUACUGACGCUGAGGCGCGAAAGCUAGGGGAGCAAACGGG